UACGGAGGGUGCAAGCGUUGUCCGGAAUUACUGGGCGUAAAGCGCGUGUAGGUGGUGGGACAAGUCUGCUGUGAAAGCGCCUGGCUUAACGGCGGAGGUCGGCGGAAACUGUCCGACUCGAGGACGGUAGAGGGGGGUGGAAUUCCCGGUGUAGUGGUGAAAUGCGUAGAGAUCGGGAGGAACACCUGUGGCGAAGGCGGCCCCCUGGGCCGGCCCUGACACUGAGACGCGAAGGCGUGGGGAGCGAACGGG
rnacentral:rRNA from 1 species